GAAGCCGAGGGAUGAUUAUUCUGUCAGGAUUGUGCUUGUUUAAUUGAGAUGUCGUGUUUUUAUUCCGUUCAUCUUUGUUUGCUUUUGUGGAUUUGAUGUUGGAGACGUGAUUCUGUAAUCGGACUGCUUCAAACGCUUAUUCUGUAAAUGGGUCUUCUCGCACAUUGCUGGCUCUGUAAGACUUUGAUUUCUUGAAUGACACCUCCGCUUCAAGUUGUUGAAUUCAUUGUUGAAGCUUAGCAAAUAGCAUUCACUUUUUGCAGACAUGUUUUUAUGAACUGAUAGCUUCAGUAGUCGUCAGUUUGAGCUGUUUCUAGUGAUUAAGCUCUUCAUAAUUUUCAAUAAAAAUAAAUCAAAUCAGAAUUUAGUUCCAUAGUGUAGCUCAUGUCAGGAUAUUGCUGCAAUUAGUCCGUGAUGAUAGAAACUAAGCGUUGACAAAAUUGUAGGUAAGAAGGCCUUGUGGGAGCAUAAUGUCUAUGGAUUGACCCCUACAAUUGGCUCCGCAAACCAUCUAUUGCAACAUGCUGAAGAGCACAGAGAUGCUGUCCUCAUGCAGGAAGUUACGGAGCUUUUGAAGAAGAAUAACUUGCCAUUGCAACCCAGCACGGCCGAUAUUGUCUUCAGCAUUUGUAACGAUACAGACAAUUUGGGGGUUGCUCACAAAGUAUUCAAAGAGAUUUGUCAAGGGUGGCGUGAAAUUGCAUGAAGCUGCAUUUGACAUCUGGAUGGAGUUUGCUGCAAAAGUAGGUCCCGCCACUUACUACAAAAGAUGGGAUGUGCUUGAAUAUAUUCUUCUUUGGCCAUUUUUUCCUUUCUGGAGAUUUAUGUGAUGCUGGACAGCUUAUUGAAGGUAUCCAAGGAAUAUAAGUUGUUCUCAGAGACACUAUAUCUCACUGUGUAUCUGAUUGACUGGUUCUGUCUCAAAAUUACAUUGAAAGACGG